CCCUCAAUCCAUCUCUUUUUAAUUUUGCCUCCUCCUAGCCUAUUCUUUUCACCUCCCUCAGCCCCUCCAUUAUUUGUUAGCUAGCUUUGCUUUAUUUAGCAAAAGAAAAUAUCAAGCUAGUUCAUCAGAUAUUCAGAUUCUCCACUGAUCCAUCAAUCCACCAUCGAUCGAUCCAUCACUGUGAGAUGUCUCUCGACAGAGGUAAGGAAUUCUCAGGUGCAGAAGGAUCGUCGUCGGGGUACUCGAGUCCGAGUCCCACCGAUCAUCAUGACCAUCAGCAGCAGCCUGCGACGCCCAGCAGGUAUGAGUCGCAGAAGAGGAGAGACUGGAACACUUUCGGGCAGUACUUGAAGAACCAGAGACCUCCAGUCCCUCUCUCCCAGUGCAAUUACAGCCACGUCCUGGAGUUCCUCAGGUACCUCGAUCAGUUCGGGAAGACCAAAGUCCAUCUCCAAGGUUGUAUGUUUUACGGCCAGCCAGAGCCACCUGCGCCUUGUACAUGUCCUCUCCGGCAGGCUUGGGGAAGCCUGGAUGCACUCAUAGGGAGGCUGAGGGCUGCUUAUGAGGAGAACGGCGGGUCCCCUGAGAGCAACCCUUUUGCUAGCGGUGCAAUCAGGGUUUACUUGAGGGAGGUCAGGGAGUGUCAGGCCAAGGCUAGAGGGAUUCCUUACAAGAAGAAGAAGAAGAAGCCGACGGCAACAACUCCGAACAGCGGCAGCAGCAGCAGAGGAGGAGGACCUGGAAAUAGUGAUCGUGAUUCUUCAACAAGUUCUAUCAUGCACUUCUCUUGAUCGAUGCAGGACCCUUAAUUUUCAGAAAGUUGGAUCAUGUCGAAAAUGAAUGGAAUAUGGAAACUAGGAAUUGUGCCAAGAUAAAUCACCUUGAAGUUUCAGUACUAUUGCUGUUAAACUUGAAUUGUUUUUCCUUUUUUUAAAUAUCUAUAAGGAAGUUGAUUUCUAGCUCUUUCGUCAAGGUGGCCACUGCACUAGAUUGAGCUUGUAGAGUUGUAGUAGUCAUCGCCUCAAUGCCAAGAAUCGAUCAAUUUCUUAGGCAUGCCAGCAUGAAACUAAACAGCAGUCAAUCGUCAUUCAUUCCUUUGCAGUUUGGAAAUUCGGUUGUAAGCAUCUUGUCAUGGUCUUUUGAUAUCGCUCAUGCAAUAAAGUGUAGAUCGACAAUGUCCUUUGAUGUUCUUCAUAAUCUGGAGUUCUCUUUGUUCGCCUUUUGUUCUCCAAAUCUCUUUGAUCCCCUCUUAAUUCGGUUUUCUGCGAAUGCCAUGUCUUUGUUCCAUUGUUGUGACAUGGCU